rnacentral:rRNA from 1 species
UGGGGAAUAUUGGACAAUGGGCGCAAGCCUGAUCCAGCCAUGCCGCGUGAGUGAUGAAGGCCCUAGGGUUGUAAAGCUCUUUCACCGGAGAAGAUAAUGACGGUAUCCGGAGAAGAAGCCCCGGCUAACUUCGUGCCAGCAGCCGCGGUAAUACGAAGGGGGCUAGCGUUGUUCGGAAUUACUGGGCGUAAAGCGCACGUAGGCGGAUCGAUCAGUCAGGGGUGAAAUCCCAGGGCUCAACCCUGGAACUGCCUUUGAUACUGUCGAUCUGGAGUAUGGAAGA